GCUUAUUUUUUAACCAAAUUUACUAUUCUUCUCAACUGUACUCUCUUUUUAUAUUAGAUUUACACUCAUUAUUACAGUAAGUUCUCAACCAUAUCUUGGUGUAAUAUGGCCAGUAAAUCAGUAAAUGCUGUAAUAUUAUCAAACUACCAUACAAAUGAACAAUUAUUGUUCAUAUGAAAUAGUUUGCCCAUCAUGUAUCAAUCAUUCCGAUAAUUAUAAAUAGAAUUUACAUAAAAUCAUAUUUAAGCAUUAAUAUUAUUUUAAGUUUAAUAAUUAUAAAUUUCCAAUUAAUUUUUUAAAAUUUAUAUUAGAUACUAUUGAAAGAAAUUUCUGCUACAAGGACAAGAGGAUCUACAUCUCAAUGUUAACCAGUCAUAUUAAAACACAUACUUCAGAUGACUAAGGGUUCAUGGGAAAUGGAUAGUGAUGAAAAAUUGGAGCAGUCAGAAAUAU